rnacentral:rRNA from 1 species
GACGAACGCUGGCGGCGUGCUUAACACAUGCAAGUCGAGCGAUGAAGCACCUUCGGGUGUGAAUUAGCGGCGAACGGGUGAGGAACACGUGAGAAAUCUGCCUUCAACACUGGGAUAACUCCGGGAAACCGGGGCUAAUACCGGAUAUGAAACCUGCGGGCAUCCGCGGGUUUGGAAAGUUUUUCGGUUGAAGAUGAUCUCGCGGCCUAUCAGCUUGUUGGUGAGGUAAUGGCUCACCAAGGCGACGACGGGUAGCCGGCCUGAGAGGGCGACCGGCCACACUGGGACCGGGGCAAGGCCCAGACUCCUACGGGAGGCAGCAGUGGGGAAUAUUGGGCAAUGGAGGAAACUCUGACCCAGCGACGCCGCGUGCGGGAUGAAGGCCUUCGGGUUGUAAACCGCUUUCAGCAGGGAAGAAGCGAAAGUGACGGUACCUGCAGAAGAAGCACCGGCUAACUAUGUGCCAGCCGCCGCGGUAA